rnacentral:rRNA from 1 species
UACGGAGGAUGCGAGCGUUAUCCGGAUUUAUUGGGUUUAAAGGGUGCGUAGGCGGGCUUUUAAGUCAACGGUAAAAAUUCGGGGCUCAACCCCGUCCGGCCGUUGAAACUGGGGGCCUUGAGUGGGCGAGAAGAAGGCGGAAUGCGUGGUGUAGCGGUGAAAUGCAUAGAUAUCACGCAGAACCCCGAUUGCGAAGGCAGCCUUCCGGCGCCCUACUGACGCUGAGGCACGAAAGUGCGGGGAUCGAACAGG